rnacentral:lncRNA from 1 species
GUCCUGACGCUGGACGGGCGUCUCCAUCCCUGAGGCCGUCAGUGAGGGGGAGCCCCAAACGGGAAUUUCCUGGAGGGUGUCUGGCACAAGCCGGAGGGGACCUACAAUGCUGUCCUCAGGCAUCCUCCUUGCUAGGUUUUCCCGGACUUUCCAUAGUUUGGGACCGCGGGGUUGGCCACUGGAAGGGACACCCCUCCAGCUCCAUCUUCCGCCCACCUGACUCACCUGGUGGGGCAAGGCAGGGAGAUCUGCGUGGAGUCCUUUAGGGCUCCAGAUUCCUCCCCACUCCUUCCUCUCACUCUGCACCCAGCUCCUGCGGCCAUCAGGCCAGCAAACUUCUAGGAGCCAUCCCCAACCCCUGGCGACCCUGUCCCACGCCACUUGGCGCAGGAGAGCGCGGAGACUGCGGGAGGACAGGGUGGGAAGGGAGGCGGAAAGGAGGUGUGCGCAGAGGAAGAUGGCCAGUCGGCCACCGCGCCAAGCUUACCCAUUAACUCCCGGGGGACAUCGGAGCUCUCGUCGGUCAUGGUUGCCCACUGGGCGCGGGGAGAUCUCGGGUCCCACUCUCUGAUUCUCGGCCCCGCGCCCUUCCCCAGACCCGUUAAUGUUUCCGCGAGGAAGCCGCAGCUUGCAAGGAAAGAGUGGGCCGGCCGGAGCAGCGGGGCGUUGAUCCAAGGUUGCCGCGCGCCCUCAGUACCAAAAGAAAAAAAAAAAAAAAAAACCCUAAGAGUUGCAAAUCCGAGCUGGCUCUGCGGCCGC